rnacentral:lncRNA from 1 species
CCUGGACCUCACCCCUAGAAAUCUGAUUCAGAAGGUCUGAGGUGAGGCCCAAUACCCUGCAUCUGCAAUAAUUCUGAUGCAAGAGGUCACUGGUGAUUCCACAUGCAGCUGCCUGUAAGAACCACAGCGAUCUCAUUUCCCCAGAUGAGAACACAGGCAUGAGAAAGAGAAGCAAUUUGACUAAGAUGGAAAGACAGAGUUUACAGUCCAACAGGGAGACUGGCAUGAAACAAACAUAGAAAUAAAUACACAGCCGCAAAGAAUGGCCAAAGUUUCAGGUUCCACGUGGGAGCAAAAGGACACAGCAGUUCCAGCUCUUAUCUUCUGACAAGUUUCAGGCAUAGUGGAAAGAAAUCACUGAGAGGGUUGAAGAAACAGACGCUAGCCUGAGCUUCCUGGAAUGAUCAUGAAGUCGCACUGCAGAACCAGGCCACCAAGAGCUGCUGCCUCAUCUGCAUCAGAAAGCGCCAUCAACAACACAUUCCCCAUAAUCAUGAAGCCACUCUUCCACCAGCUCCUGAGCCACCACAUGCCUGAUGUGUUCCAGACAGACUGGGUGCCCAAGUCCUGCCUCUCAACACCCACCCAGCCAGCGAAGGGUCCCUUGAGUUUUGCUCACAUUGUUGAAGUAGAACCAGGCUUGUCAGCAAAAGAGGAGAAGUAGUAAGAAGAUUGGCCUCCACCCUACUUUCACUUUCAAAUCUCACAUGAGUCAUGUGGUCAAACCUGAAUUACAUCUGAAAUUUAGGAGGCCUGGGAAACGUAGUUACGUUUUUUAAGGAGGCUUUAUUUUUUAGAGCAGUUUUAGCUUCAC